rnacentral:rRNA from 1 species
UACAGAGGUCCCGAGCGUUGUUCGGAUUCAUUGGGCGUAAAGGGUGCGUAGGCGGCGGGGCAAGUCUGAUGUGAAAUCCCGGGGCUCAACCCCGGAACUGCAUUGGAUACUGCCUUGCUCGAGUACUGGAGAGGGAACUGGAAUUUACGGUGUAGCAGUGAAAUGCGUAGAGAUCGUAAGGAAGGCCAGUGGCGAAGGCGGCCUUCUGGACAGUGACUGACGCUGAGACGCGAAAGCGUGGGGAGCAAACAGG